ACGGGAGGCAGCAGUGGGGGAUAUUGCACAAUGGGGGAAACCCUGAUGCAGCGACGCCGCGUGAGUGAAGAAGUAUUUCGGUAUGUAAAGCUCUAUCAGCAGGAAAGAUAAUGACGGUACCUGACUAAGAAGCCCCGGCUAACUACGUGCCAGCAGCCGCGGUAAUACGUAGGGGGCAAGCGUUAUCCGGAUUUACUGGGUGUAAAGGGAGCGUAGACGGUAUGGCAAGUCUGAUGCGAAAACCCAGGGCUCAACCCUGGGACUGCAUUGGAAACUGUCAAACUAGAGUGCAGGAGAGGUAAGUGGAAUUCCUAGUGUAGCGGUGAAAUGCGUAGAUAUUAGGAGGAACACCAGUGGCGAAGGCGGCUUACUGGACUGUAACUGACGUUGAGGCUCGAAAGCGUGGGGAGCAAACAGGAUUAGAUACCCUGGUA
rnacentral:rRNA from 1 species